GCGGAAUUAGUUAAAUGGUAGAAUGUCUGGCUUCCAACCAGAAGAUGAGAGUUCGAUUCUCUCAUUCCGCGCCA
rnacentral:tRNA from 1 species